UACGUAGGGGGCAAGCGUUGUCCGGAAUCAUUGGGCGUAAAGAGCGUGUAGGCGGCCCGGUAAGUCCGCUGUGAAAGUCCAGGGCUCAACCCUGGGAUGCCGGUGGAUACUGUCGGGCUCGAGUCCGGAAGAGGAGUGUGGAAUUCCUGGUGUAGCGGUGAAAUGCGCAGAUAUCGGGAGGAACACCCGUAGCGAAGGCGGCACUCUGGGCCGGUACUGACGCUGAGGAGCGAAAGCCAGGGGAGCAAACGGG
rnacentral:rRNA from 1 species